AAAAGCUUGCUGGUUACUGCACCAAGUUUUGGUGUCAACAGACUAAUCUGUUUCUACUGCCGGCGAAUUUAUCGGCUCAGAGUGGGAUCAAGGCAUCAGGCCGAUGGAGUUCUUUAUAUUUCAAGAGGAGUCGAUGUGGCUUUGAAUAUGGCAAUCAGACGUCAUUAGCUCUAAAGACAAGUAUCAGACUUCUAUAAUUAGUUUCGGAACAUGAAG
rnacentral:lncRNA from 1 species